GCCCACGUAGCUCAGUAGGCAGAGCACAUUCUUGGUAAGAAUGAGGUCCUGGGUUCGAAUCCCAGCGUGGGCUCCA
rnacentral:tRNA from 1 species